rnacentral:rRNA from 1 species
GACGAACCGUGCGACCGUUGUUCGGAAUCAUUGGGCUUAAAGGGCGCGUAGGCGGGCUAGCAAGUCAGGGGUGAAAGCCCACGGCUCAACCGUGGAAGUGCCUUUGAUACUGCCAGCCUGGAGGGAGGUAGGGGCGUGCGGAACUUCCGGUGGAGCGGUGAAAUGCGUAGAUAUCGGAAGGAACACCGGUGGCGAAAGCGGCGCGCUGGACCUCUUCUGACGCUGAGGCGCGAAAGCCAGGGGAGCGAACGGG